UCUCCAAGACCAGGGUUGGAGACCACUUUAGUUUUUGCAAAAAAAAAAAAAGUAAGUGCCAAAUGGACACACCUCGUGCACCAUUGCAACGAUGGCCAACAACGUUUGGAUGUUUCUCAGACAUUAACUACCAGUAGCUAACGGACCCGAAACCGGAAGGUGCCAGAGACGCACCCGGGAGCCGGACGGCCCAGGACAUCACUCGCCUGAGAUCUUCACCUUGGGGGGGUUUCUGCACAGUUUAAUAUCAUCAAGCUGGAGAACAAGCGUAUGGCUCUUUUUAGUAACGUAACAUUAUCAACUACUUCUCAAUAAUAAAUAAAGUUAAAAACUAUACCAAAGGUUGUCAAAUCUUGCUCAUGUUUUCAAGGAUACAAGUAACAUUUACAAAUAAUACCUGUAGCAAAAAAAAAAAAAAACCCUUCGUUGAAUAUUUAAAAUUAUAUGUUUCCCUAAUAAUCAGCUUAAUAUAAGGAGAAAAAAAAGACCAACAUAAGUCGCAGAUUAACAUGUUUCAUAGUAGAUGUUGCUUUAACUUUGAAGGAAAUUAAAUAUCCGAUUUUGUGCAAGAGGUAAACCC